rnacentral:misc_RNA from 1 species
UUUGGUCAUUGCAAGGAAUCCUCCUCCUCAAGGAUCAGACUUCCAGGAAAAUCAAAACUGGAGCUUGUGUUAUCUCUGGCGUCAGGUGUUCUGUUCCUGUUUUUACGUUGGACUUUUCUACAGUCCCGUGUUUCUUUUUAUACCUGCACUCAAGCUUGCUUCUCAGAUUUGUUCCCAUGUCGUAUGCAUUAGUCAUGCAACCUACAGUUGCUAUUGAUGAAGUUACGGUGACUAAUGACAUGGAGCUUGUAUCUUGCCUUACCCCUG